GACGAACGCUGGAGGCGUGCUUAACACAUGCAAGUCGAACGAUGAAAUGGAGCUUGCUCCAUGGAUUAGUGGCGAACGGGUGAGUAACACGUGAAUAACCUGCCCUUAAUUUUGGAAUAACCCAGGGAAACCUGGGCUAAUACCGGAUAAGUAAACCUGUGGCAUCACAUGGUUUUGGAAAGUUUUUCGAUUAAGGAUGGAUUCGCGGCCUAUCAGCUUGUUGGGGAGGUAAUGGCUCACCAAGGCGACGACGGGUAGCCGGCUCUGAGAGGGUGAACGGCCACACUGGGACUGAGACACGGCCCAGACUCCUACGGGAGGCAGCAGUGGGGAAUAUUGCGCAAUGGACGAAAGUCUGACGCAGCGACGCCUCGUGAGGGACGAAGGUCUUCGGAUUGUAAACCUCUUUCAGCAGGGACGAAGCGAAAGUGACGGUACCUGCAGAAGAAGCACCGGCUAACUAUGUGCCAGCCGCCGCCGUAA
rnacentral:rRNA from 1 species